GAUGAACGCUGGCGGCGUGCCUAAUACAUGCAAGUCGAGCGGACGGACGAUAAGCUUGCUUUUCGCAUGUUAGCGGCGCACGGGUGAGUAACACGUGGAUAACCUCCCUAUAAUUCUGAUAUAACUUCGGGACACCGGAGAUAAUAGCGGAGAAGAUCUUGAACCGCAGUGGUGGAAAGAGAGAGACGGUGUUUGUGGCUCUUAUCGAGGGAUCUGCGCUGCAUGAGGUGGUUGGUAAGGUAACGGCUUAUCACGGCAACGAUGCAUAGCCGAGCUGACAGGGUGAUCGGCCGCCCUGGAACUGAGACACGCACCAGACUCCUACGGGAGGGAGCAGUAGGGUAUCUGCGGCAAUGGGCGGAAGCCUUACAGAGCGAGGCGACGUGUGUUACGAAGAUCUUGGGUGCGUGAUACCCUCUUAUUAGGGAUAAACCUAUUUCUCCGGUGCUGUACCGUUCUUGACGGUAAUUAGUAAAAAAGCCACGGCUAACUACGUG
rnacentral:rRNA from 1 species